UUGCGGUGAUGAGAUAUUUCAGUGUUGAAAGCAGAUCCCUGCUUGAUGAGUCUGGGAAAUACCAUUUCCUCCUGAGCGGUUACCUGAGCAA
rfam:Triticum aestivum genome assembly, contig: Triticum_aestivum_CS42_TGACv1_scaffold_603500_7DL